AGGAUGCUGUGGCUACUCUUUAAUCUUAAUGUACUGAUUACUUAAAUAUAAUAUACAGCGGAUAAAGUCUUAAAUUUAAAUGAGAAGCACAAAGAUAAAAUAACAAAUAAACAGCAGAAAGCAUUCAAGUAAAUAUUAUGUAAGAUAAAAGACUAAACGACCAGUUAGCGCAGCAGUUUUUUUUUUUCUUCUCUUUUUUUUUUAUCACACUUUGUCAGGGCCUAAAGCCCAAAACACCUUAAAAAAAAGCCCUAACACAUU
rnacentral:lncRNA from 1 species